AUCUUGGGGGGUGUGGGGUAGGGAUCAGUACAUGCGUCCGCAAACCCUAAACCUGUCCCUCUCUUGGGGGAGUUCAAUUAAUGGGGGGGUCUUUGACCAGUGUUUCCCCUCGUAGUGGUUAAAAAACAGAAACGCUGAUGCUCUCUCCUUGCAUGGUGGCUGUUUCCCUCGUUGACAAGCCUCCCCUUGAGAGGAGUAUCGAGGUGGUACCGCUUACAUCUGGCCGGUGUCUCGGGGUACUGGAUUCCUCGCCUCUCUACCACCACCCGCUUUU
rnacentral:telomerase_RNA from 1 species